ensembl:snoRNA
GUAGUCGAUGAUGAUUCAUUUUUCAGUUUGCCUGACUUCUUUUCAGAAUAUGAGGGCAACUUAAGUCACUACCUCUUCUGAGACAU